rnacentral:misc_RNA from 1 species
UCUCGGCUUAUCACCGGCAGUCCCCCUAGAGUGCCCAACUGAAUGAUGGCAACUAAGGGCGAGGGUUGCGCUCGUUGCGGGACUUAACCCAACAUCUCACGACACGAGCUGACGUCAGCCAUGCAGCACCUGAGCAGGAUGCCCUUGCGGGCUCAUUGCCCUUUCAGGUUUUUACUACCUGCUUGUCCAGCCUGGGUAAGGUUCUUCGCGUUGCGUCGAAUUAAACCACAUGCUCCGCUGCUUGUGCGGGCCCCCGUCAAUUCCUUUGAGUUUUAGCCUUGCGGCCGUACUCCCCAGGCGGGGCACUUACUGCGUUAGCGACGGCACGGGAGGAGUCGACACCUCCCACACCUAGUGCCCAUCGUUUACGGCGUGGACUAC